rnacentral:snRNA from 1 species
GGAUGUGAGGGUGAACUGAACUGGCUGACUAGCUGCGACAUCUGUCACUCCACUGAUCACCAGGAUUGAUUUGGCUGAUUCAGCUUAUCUGGCUGGCUAGACGGGUGUCCCCUUCCUCCCUCACUGCUCAAUGUGCAUCCCUUUGUCUCUCCCAAGGUUGCACACUGAGUGGAAGAAGACAGCCGUCCCCAAUAGAGACUGACAGGUCAUCAGAGGGUAUCUAUGAGUAGCUUCACUCACCUGCUAUAACCUCCAAACAAGUUCUCUAAAAUAAAAACUUCAUGAGCUUUAUUUCUUCUUCUUU